rnacentral:rRNA from 1 species
GAUGAACGCUGGCGGCGUGCCUAAUACAUGCAAGUCGAGCGAACAGACGAGGAGCUUACUCCUCUGACGUUAGCGGCGGACGGGUGAGUAACGCGUGGAUAACCUACCUAUAAGACUGGGAUAACUUCGGGAAACCGGAGCUAAUACCGGAUAACAUGUUGAACCGCAUGGUUCAACAGUGAAAGACGGUCUUGCUGUCACUUAUAGAUGGAUCCGCGUCGCAUUAGCUAGUUGGUAAGGUAACGGCUUACCAAGGCAACGAUGCGUAGCCGACCUGAGAGGGUGAUCGGCCACACUGGAACUGAGACACGGUCCAGACUCCUACGGGAGGCAGCAGUAGGGAAUCUUCCGCAAUGGGCGAAAGCCUGACGGAGCAACGCCGCGUGAGUGAAGAAGGUCUUCGGAUCGUAAAACUCUGUUAUUAGGGAAGAACAAAUGUGUAAGUAACUAUGCACGUCUUGACGGUACCUAAUCAGAAAGCCACGGCUAACUACGUG